UUGGGGACGUCUAGCGAGACUGCCAGUGAUAAACUGGAGGAAGGUGGGGAUGACGUCAAAUCAUCAUGCCCCUUAUGACCUGGGCUACAAACGUGAUACAAUGGCUGGAACAAAGGGAUGCGAAGCAGUGAUGUGGAGCGAAACCCAUAAAAACAGUCUCAGUUCGGAUUGAAGUCUGCAACUCGACUUCAUGAAGUCGGAAUCGCUAGUAAUCGCGGAUCAGAACGCCGCGGUGAAUACGUUCUCGGGGUUU
rnacentral:rRNA from 1 species